rnacentral:lncRNA from 1 species
AAGGGGCAGCCUCAGGCAGGUUGGUGUAAUCUCGCAGGGAGUCAGUCAUGUCAUCCUGAAGCCGUCAGGAGGGAGAGAAAACCAAGAAGUUUUAAAGAAAGGAGGGGGAGAGUCCCCUGGGCCCAGUCUCCCCAGGUGUGGUAGCUCCCGCACCCUGAAGAGCCGGCGUUUCCCAAGCAGAGGGCUCCCAGCCUGGGAAGGAGGGAACCCUGCCCUGCCUUCCGGAGGAAGGGGCUGCUUUGUAAAAUUCUCUCUUUGCAUCCGCCCUGCAAACCACUAGGGCCUCAGGAUCCUCAGCUGCAGCCUGAUGAGUGUGUUGUCGUUCCUACCUUAUUCCGCUACAGAAAGAUCAAUGAGUUCAUGCGGUUAAAGAACUUAGAGUUUGGGAGGCUGAGGUGGAUGGAUCACUUGAGGUCAGGAGUUGGAGACCAGCCUGGCCAACAUGGUGAAACCCCCGUCUCUACUAAAAAUACAAAAACUAGCUGGGCGUGGUGGCGGGCGCCUGUAGUCCCAGCUACUCGGGAGGCUGAGGCAGGAGAAUCGCUCGAACUCGGGAGGUGGAGGUUGCAGUGAGCCAGGAUUGCACCACUGCACUCCAGCCUGGACAACAGAGCAAGAUUCUGUCUCUAAACAAAUAAAUAAAUAAAUAAGAACUUAGCACAGGGUCAUGGCGCAUCGGAGCAAUCACUCACUGCUGGUCUCCCAAAGACACAGAAGACCUUCCCCAGCUGCUGGGGGUCAAACACGGAACAGGCAGUGCAGUGACCACACGGCGGACUUGCUGUGGCCACCGAUGCAAGACGGGUCCUCGCCCGGCCACAGUGAGCGCAGGGCCAGUGCCGCCGGGGGGAACCUGAGGCUGGCCGCACCGGAGACUCGAAGAGGAGGACAGCUGACUGCAGCCCCCGCCGUCUGCACCCCAGCCCUCCCCGCUCCCCAGGGCUGCAGCCCCCGCCGUCUGCACCCC